UACAGAGGGCCCAAGCGUUGUUCGGAUUCAUUGGGCGUAAAGGGUGCGUAGGCGGCGCGGUAAGUCGGGUGUGAAAUCUCGGAGCUUAACUCCGAAACUGCAUUCGAUACUGCCGGGCUUGAGGACUGGAGAGGAGACUGGAAUUUACGGUGUAGCGGUGAAAUGCGUAGAUAUCGUAAGGAACACCAGUGGCGAAGGCGGGUCUCUGGACAGUUCCUGACGCUGAGGCACGAAGGUCAGGGGAGCAAACGGG
rnacentral:rRNA from 1 species